rnacentral:rRNA from 1 species
UCAGAAACUUAAAGGAAGUUAGACGGGGCCCGGCACAAGCGGUGGAGUAUGUGGUUAAUUCGAUGCAACGCGAAGAACCUUACCUGGUCUUGACAUCCCGGAGACCCUUAGGAAACUAGGGGUGCUUCCAUCUGGAAGAAUCUGGAGACAGGUGCUGCAUGGCUGUCGUCAGCUCGUGUCGUGAGAUGUUGGGUUAAGUCCCGCAACGAGCGCAACCCUUGCCUUUAGUUGCCAGCAGUUCGGCUGGGCACUCUAAAGGGACUGCCGGUGUUAAACCGGAGGAAGGUGGGGAUGACGUCAAGUCCUCAUGGCCUUUAUGACCAGGGCUACACACGUACUACAAUGGCCGAUACAAAGGGCAGCGACACUGCGAGGUGAAGCCAAUCCCGUAAAAUCGGUCUCAGUCCGGAUUGGAGUCUGCAACUCGACUCCAUGAAGUUGGAAUCGCUAGUAAUCGUGGAUCAGCAUGCCACGGUGAAUACGUUCCCGGGCCUU